ACUGGGAACGUGGCGUCUCCUGUAACGUGGCUGCUCACGGGUCGGGUUACGGACUGAUUUGAGGUUGGGGUCCACUGUGUGCCGGGUAAGUCCAUGUUGACGGGACGUCCGCACUAAGCUGACCGUCAAUAUGGGUGCAAUGGGGGAGCCCGAUGCAUUCAGGUUGGCUAAAGAGAGAUGAACCGAGCGAGGGGUGAAAACCAGCAGCUAAAAGUCUCCGCGGUAAGCAGUAGUGGGAUCGCGUCCCGGAGUGGACUUCCGGUACCAGCCUGACCAAUACAGUCACACUGUAAUCUUUU
rfam:Aedes aegypti strain Liverpool cont1.3358, whole genome shotgun sequence.